rnacentral:rRNA from 1 species
AGUGAACGCUGGCGGUAGGCCUAACACAUGCAAGUCGAACGGCAGCACAGUAAGAGCUUGCUCUUACGGGUGGCGAGUGGCGGACGGGUGAGGAAUACAUCGGAAUCUACUUUUUCGUGGGGGAUAACGUAGGGAAACUUACGCUAAUACCGCAUACGACCUACGGGUUAAAGCAGGGGAUCUUCGGACCUUGCGCGAUUGAAUGAGCCGAUGUCGGAUUAGCUAGUUGGCGGGGUAAAGGCCCACCAAGGCGACGAUCCGUAGCUGGUCUGAGAGGAUGAUCAGCCACACUGGAACUGAGACACGGUCCAGACUCCUACGGGAGGCAGCAGUGGGGAAUAUUGGGCAAUGGGCGCAAGCCUGAUCCAGCCAUGCCGCGUGGGUGAAGAAGGCCUUCGGGUUGUAAAGCCCUUUUGUUGGGGAAGAAAAACAGCAGGUUAAUCCACCGCUGUUCUGACGGUACCCAAAGAAUAAGCACCGGCUAACUUCGUG